CCUACGGGAGGCAGCAGUGGGGAAUCUUGCGCAAUGGGCGAAAGCCUGACGCAGCCAUGCCGCGUGAAUGAUGAAGGUCUUAGGAUUGUAAAAUUCUUUCACCGGGGACGAUAAUGACGGUACCCGGAGAAGAAGCCCCGGCUAACUUCGUGCCAGCAGCCGCGGUAAUACGAAGGGGGCUAGCGUUGCUCGGAAUUACUGGGCGUAAAGGGAGCGUAGGCGGAUAGUUUAGUCAGAGGUGAAAGCCCAGGGCUCAACCUUGGAAUUGCCUUUGAUACUGGCUAUCUUGAGUAUGGGAGAGGUUAGCGGAACUCCGAGUGUAGAGGUGAAAUUCGUAGAUAUUCGGAAGAACACCAGUGGCGAAGGCGGCUAACUGGCCCAUUACUGACGCUGGGGCUCGAAAGCGUGGGGAGCAAACAGGAUUAGAUACCCUGGUAGUCCACGCCGUAAACGAUGAGUGCUAGUUGUCGGCAUGCAUGCAUGUCGGUGACGCAGCUACGACAUAGACACUCCGCCGUCGGGAGGUACGGUCGCGAGAAUAAACUACAANAGAAGUUAGUACGGCGUGAGACGUGCCGACGGACGACGACGAGGGAGGUUAGG
rnacentral:rRNA from 1 species